ACCUUGUGUAUGGAUGAGGAUAGCAAACCAACUCCAUCUACUCAACAUCUCUGUAUCACUUUAGGACCUAGAGAAAUCAAUUUUCUUGCAAUGGUAUCAAUUUUUAUUUUCAUAUUCCCAUUUCUUAGAUAUAAAGUAUCAUCUCAAAGUCAAUCCAUUUUUUUUUGAACAUGGAAAGGAUUUGCUAUUUGCUUGAUUUCAAUAAGAAAUAAAAUGACCAUUUUCAUCAAGAUACAUCUAUAUUAAAUAUUGGUUUUUUUAAUAUAAAAAUUAUAUAUUGUAACGGGCGUACUAAUACAGUUUACGAAUUGAUUAAGGAAAGAAAGAGAAAAGAGAUUGAAAGGAAAGGUUGUAUGAAGGGGUUCUUAUAGGGGGGUGAGCGGAGCGGAAGAACAUUAGGGAUUAUGUGGAGG
rnacentral:sRNA from 1 species